AUUGAACGCUGGCGGCAUGCUUUACACAUGCAAGUCGAACGGCAGCGCGGGCUUCGGCCUGGCGGCGAGUGGCGAACGGGUGAGUAAUACAUCGGAACGUGCCCAGUAGUGGGGGAUAGCUCGGCGAAAGCCGGAUUAAUACCGCAUACGACCUGAGGGUGAAAGCGGGGGAUCUUCGGACCUCGCGCUAUUGGAGCGGCCGAUGGCAGAUUAGCUAGUUGGUGGGGUAAAGGCCUACCAAGGCGACGAUCUGUAGCUGGUCUGAGAGGACGACCAGCCACACUGGGACUGAGACACGGCCCAGACUCCUACGGGAGGCAGCAGUGGGGAAUUUUGGACAAUGGGCGAAAGCCUGAUCCAGCAAUGCCGCGUGUGUGAUGAAGGCCUUCGGGUUGUAAAGCACUUUUGGCGGGAACGAAAAGGACCGUGCCAAUACCAUGGUCUGAUGACGGACCCGCAGAAUAAGCACCGCA
rnacentral:rRNA from 1 species